GACCUGAGAUCAGGCAAGGCUACCCGCUGAACUUAAGCAUAUCAAUAAGCGGAGGAAAAGAAACUAACCAGGAUUCCAUUAGUAACGGCGAGCGAAACUGGAAAAGUCCAACUUGAAAAUCUUCAGCUUUCAGCUGACGAAUUGUAGUCUAUAGAAGUAUUCUCUGUAGCCACUCCUGCCCAAGUUCCCUGGAACGGGACGCCAUAGAGGGUGAGAGCCCCGUCAGUAGGAUGUUAGCCGCUCCCCGAGAUGCUUUCGCACAGUCGGGUUGUCCGGGACUGCAACCCUAAUUUGGUGGUUAGUCACAUCUAAGACUACUGACUGGCCAACAGACCUAUAGCGUUCCAGUGCCUUGAUGAUCGUGCCAAAACCCAAAAUAUCCCUUUUAA
rnacentral:rRNA from 1 species